rnacentral:rRNA from 1 species
AGUCAAUAGAUACCCUGGUAGUCCACGCCGUAAACGAUGAGUACUAGGUGUAGGAGGUAUCGACUCCUUCUGUGCCGCAGUUAACACAAUAAGUACUCCGCCUGGGAAGUACGGUCGCAAGAUUAAAGCUCAAAGGAAUUGACGGGGGCCCGCACAAGCAGCGGAGCAUGUGGUUUAAUUCGAAGCAACGCGAAGAACCUUACCUAGACUUGACAUCUCCUGAAUAGCGCAGAGAUGCGUGAAGCCCUUCGGGGCAGGAAGACAGGUGGUGCAUGGUUGUCGUCAGCUCGUGUCGUGAGAUGUUGGGUUAAGUCCCGCAACGAGCGCAACCCCUAUUAUUAGUUGCUACCAUUAAGUUGAGCACUCUAAUGAGACUGCCCGGGGUUAACCGGAAGGAAGGCGGGGAUGACGUCAAAUCAUCAUGCCCCUUAUGUCUAGGGCUACACACGUGCUACAAUGGUGAGAACAACGAGAUGCAAUACCGCGAGGUGGAGCAAAGCUUGAAAA